CCGAGACUCUUUCCCUUGUGUAUGUUGUCCGCACAGUGAUACAAUUCCAUUUGCCAUAUCUUAGGUCACUCAAAAUGGUUCCUCUCCAAUCUUAGAGAUUUUUCUUUAAAAAUCCACAACUUGAACCCCUUCCCUCACUCUCAAAACCUACAAAGAUGAAGACUUUCUCCUCAAUUCAACCACCCCAACACUUCCCUUCCACAAGAUUUCACUCUUUCACUAUCUCAAGGUUACUCUUUUCCCCAUUUUCAUGCUUCAUUUCUUCAAUGUCUGUUUAUACUUUCAAUUUACACUUUUCAAUUUCAAAACCCCAAGAAAGAGAAUCGAGGUGGAAGAUGGAACUCAUGGAUUAAAAAGGGUAAUGAGCUUGUGGGGGUAUCUGGGUCUAUGUGAAUCCAUUGCAUAAUCUCAAAUAAGAAUUGUUUAAAUAGCAUAGACUACACCAUUAUGUUUUUUCCUUUUCAUUUUCAAUUUCUGAUAUUAUCAGGACUCAACUUCAUUUUCCUGCAAAGGUCUUCUUUUGCCAAGCAAAAUCUGACAUUGAAUUAUGCUUUUUUACUCAGGCAUAGAUGGGUCUUUGAACUUAAAAGUGAUGGCUACCACUGUGUUAGCAGCAGAAAAGGAAGAAGCCAAGGCUGUAUUGACCUUGUAUUUAAAGGAACGUGGUUUGAGCAAUGCAGUUGCAGCAAGAACCAUCAAUAAGUCAGAUCUUUUUAUUGAUCACCUUGUGUCAAAGCUUCACUCUAAGCACAAAUCUCGGUACCUCACAGGGAGAGAGCUUACAACACUUGAGAUCAGGGAUGCUCUUAUGUCUUAUCUUGAAUCCCUUUUUGAAGAGCAUGGAGAAAUCCUAGUAGAUAUAGUGGAAAACUUUCCAAACCCACCUGUUAAGGAAAAAUCACAUGUGCCAAUGCCAAUUCCUCCUCCUAGUCCAUCAGUAGACUCUAAGAAGCUUAAAGCUGUGUCUCGAUUGAGUGAGAUAGACCCAGCUGCUGGCAAGCUUCGCCCUCAUAUUGUGUAUCUCAUGGAGCUUGGUAUGGAUAUCGAGCAGAUUAGGAGUAUCAUACGGCGAUUCCCAUCUUUUGCCUAUUGUAGUUUGGAGGGUAAAAUUAAGCCAUUAGUUGAGUUUUUUCUUGAACUUGGAAUUCCAGAAGAAAACAUUCCGAUCAUCCUUACUAAAAGGCCUCAAUUAUGUGGAAUAAGUCUAUCUGAAAACCUUAAACCCACCAUGAAGUUCUUAGAAUCUUUGGGUGUUGACAAGGAACAAUGGGCUAAGGUGAUCUACCGCUUCCCAGCAUUGCUAACUUAUAGCAGGCAGAAGCUGAGGGAAAGUGUAAAUUUUCUCCAUGAAAUGGGGCUCUCAGAAGAGAACAUAGGUAAGGUUUUAACUCGCUGCCCCACUAUUAUUAGUUACAGUGUAGAAGACAAUCUCAGACCAACAGCUAAGUACUUCAGUUCUUUAGGGGUUGAUGUUGGCAUUCUUCUAUUCAGGUGCCCACAGACUUUUGGUCUUAGCAUUGAGGCUCAUCUAAAGCCUGUAACAGAAUUUUUCUUGGAGAGGGGAUACAGUUUGGAAGAAAUUCGGACCAUGAUUUCAAGAUAUGGAGCCUUGUACAGUUUUAGCUUGACUGAGAAUUUGAUUCUGAAAUGGGAUUUCUUUUUGACCAUGGAUUACCCAAAGUCUGAGCUGGUUAAAUUCCCUCAAUUUUUUGGAUACAAUUUAGAAAAAAGGAUCAAACCAAGAUAUGCAGUUAUGAAAGAAUCUGGAGUGAUGUUACUGCUUAACCAGGUUCUAUCACUGUCAAGCAGCGACUUUGAAAAGGCCUUGGAAAAGAAAAUUAAGAAAAUGCAAGGUGGUCGCUCAAUCAUAUUUAGAAAUGAAAACUGAGAUUUUCAGGAAAUGUUUCAGCUUAGAAGAUGCUCAACUUCAUGAUUUUUUUGUUUUUUUGAUCGAUGGCACUAUGACUGCCAAUUUAUGUGAAGUGAAAAGUUGCAGUUAUACUGGAUCAUGGUCAAUCAAAAGCUUCAGGAAAUAGAACUCAUGCCCAUGAACUUAAGCAUUAAGCUGUAUUGGAGUGAUUUUGGAGCAUGCUAGCUCCCGAAAUCAAAAUUUCCAACAGGGAUUAUGAGAUGAAUGACCCUGGUCAGCUCUACUUGCUAGUUACUGCUUGGCGGGGCACGAUUCGGUUCUUAAACUGAUUCAGAGAAAAUAGUUUGGUUCUUAAAUUGGUUUCGAGAAAUAUGGUUAAUUUUGUGUAGUUCGUUUCGACUUGGUUCAUAUAAUUUUUCCACACAUUCUAGGAGUGGAUAUAGUUCAGUUCAGUUUGGUUUUAUAUCCCAAACCGAAUUGAAUCACUUUAACCGAACUGAUCUGGUGAAGUGGUUCGGUUCUUCUUCGAAUUGGUUUUGAAAAAUAAUUUGUUUCAUGAACUGCUUCAGGGAAAAUAGUUUGGUUCUUAAAUCAAUUUAGAAAAAUAUGAUCACUUUUAGCGCAAUUCAGUUCAGAUAAUUUCAGUUAGUUCACAUUUUGGUUCGGUUCAUAUGGAUUAUUUUACACCAAAAUGAAUAUGUGAUUGUUUUUGUCUCUAUAUAUUAACUAGAGUGUUUACUGUGUAUUUGUUGGUAAAAUAGAUGAUUAGUGAGAUUACAUGGCGCCAAAUUUUGCUCCUACUAUAUUGUAAGACCACUCUGAUGUGGGAAACCUGUCUUUGAAGUUCUAAAAUUGUAUUUACGUGUGGAAGGUGAUUUUGGCCAUUCCAACGACAAAGUGGGAAGACAUGUACCUUCUUUCAAACCAUGGUUCACAAUCCUUAAUAUACAAGCACAAUGGUUUGUUUUAACGGAAAGGUAAUUUUUGUUUUUUCACUUCCACUGAAGCCAUCAUUUGAGACCAAAAUUUAUGCUCAAAUACAAGUAUACAACUUAGUUAUUGAAUUGCAAACAUGUGGAUAAAACUCUGUUUCUAACUGGGUUUUGAUUGGGUUUUAUGGUUAUGAACAUAAUUGCGUUGACUGAAUUGACUUGUCUCACUCUACACUAUACAGUAGUAAUAGAUUAAAGGAAAUAAAAUAAAACAUAAAAAAUGACCUCAUUUGCGAUUACUGGAAUGUAUUUAUGGGCUUUGUAUCUAUGUAGCGACAGUAAAAUUUUCUCUUCUUCCGCUGACACAAAAAUAUGGUGGGGUUUAAAUGAAAAAUUUCGUUGAGUCUGUUGCAUGAGAAAAACACUUCUGCAAUAAUAGCAAGAAGUUUUUUCCCCAUUAUUUAUUUAUUUAUUUGAAAAUGACAUCAAUACAGUUAUUUGGCUCCUCCAUAUUCAAGAAUAUUUUUCGUUGUAAUGCAAUUUUUUUAUAUAAAAGUUUAGAUUGGGGGAAAAUAUAUUCUUAUCUAAGGCUAAGAAAAACCACCAAUCUCAAUUGAGAUUACGUAUUGCCUAUUAAAGAGAAAAAACUGAAUCAAAUCUUAAGUCAUGGUUAGCAUGGGUAGAAGGUAUUGUCAUGUAAUUUUCAACCUUAUUACUAAUCUAAUGCAAUUGAUUGCACACGGGAUGACUAGCAACUAGUUGUACAAGGAGGAUUGUGCAAUUUUCUCGUGGCACAACCAGGUAACUUGUGCACCAUCCAUGUGCAAUUAGUUGCACAUCCCUCUUGCGCAAUUAACUGAAUCGCGUCAUGUGACACAACCCUCGCCAUUUGUAGCACCUACUACUCAAUUUCGCACCCCCUAGUAGGAUUGUCAAGAUGUUGCCACAUGGCCCUUCUUGACCAUCCCUCCUACCAAUCCCUUCAUUCUCUUUCUCACACUUGAAUUUGUUGGGUUUAGUAUGCUCUUUUCACUUAAGCCCAAUAGCUUUAGUGAGAGAGCCGAAAGUCCAAUUUUAACCCAGGAAGCUUAGGGUUAGUUUUGGAUUGGGCAGAGUAUACAAACUCUCUUUUCUCCUAGUGCCUCCUAGGGUUACAGUCAUCAGAAACACACCAAAGAAGCAGACGUUCAUCAUCUGAACAGUUGCCCACACGACCCGCUGAUCCCCUUGAGUCAUAGCCUGGAAGAUCAACCGUACAGCGAAAUUGCGACCGAUCGUGGUGCGUUACUGCAGAUCGUGAGGCUUGAGGAGGAGAACUGAACGUGAGAAAUUGUCACGCUCACUGCUUCAUUUCAGAAAAUGACUUAUUCCAAUCCUAUAGCCAUAAUUUUGAGUAAAAAAUCUCUAGAUGGUACAAACUAUGAAGAAUGGAAAAGGAACCUUGAUGUUGUUCUUAAACAUGAAAAGCUAAAAUUUGUCCUGACAGUACAAGGGCCAUAGCAACCUGCAGAGGUAGUGUCUAAGGACGCAAUACUCAGAUUGGAAAAAGACAAAUAUGGUAAUUCGCUAUUAUGUUCUUAUCGGUCUUUCCAAACACUUGCAUAAGCAAAUGUACAUGGUUAAGAGUAGAGUAGAGAUGCUUCAGACUCUUAAUGACAUGUUUGCUGUGUCUAGCAGCUCUGCUAGACAGAAUGCAGUC